AAAACAUGGCCCCUGGGAAUGGCAGAAUGAAGACCAUCUCUGCUUCCUUUGGGGAUCCCAGCACCUCCGGCCUUCAUGAGAUCAACUGGGAGGAAAUACCAGCUAUGGUGGCCUAAGAAAAAUGUGACUGAGAUCUGCAUUCAGAGAGCAGGAGUGGAAAAGAGGCGACAAAUGUGACACCUACUCAUUACCCUGCUUCAGAUAUUUGAGAAGAGGGUGGAAUUAAGAAAUGCUUCCCCCACCCCCAUUCUCCUCAAUUCCAAUUGCCAAACAGUAUCCAGACCUACUCACGAAAAAGGGUGCAGUUCUGUGGGGAAGAAAAAUAUGUCUGUGGUUUGUUUACCUUGUUUAAGAUGACAGGUGAGAUACCAGACUGAUGAGGAAGGCUGGCACACCAAAUCUUUUUUUCUCAGUUUCAAAAACACCAAAGGUCGAUGACAGGAUACCCGAUUUAUCUUGAUCCUUAACACCAUCGUGUUUCAUUACGCACAGGCCAGAGUAAUUAGCUCAAAAGGCCACAGGAGCUAAGACGCAUGUGCCUUUCUUGAAGGCACCACAGGACAGUGCGUCUUCCCCUCCGAGCCUUCCUUGUUGUGCUUCAUGUGGGUGUAACACGUGACCAGGAAGUUCUACAGGAACAAUCAAUCACUCAGAUUUGUUUAUUGCUUUGAUAAAGCCACAGCAUUUCACAAGUGCCCCGAGAUGUGUCAGGUACUCGGUAAGCCCUCAAAUGUUCGCUGACCCACUAACUUUUUCCUUCAAAGGUUUUUCUAAUUUGAUUCCAGUUCAAGAAUAAGCUGGAUGUAAACUUGGACAAAUCAACUCACGACCGUCUAAGUGCUUUCAAGCUACAUCCGCAUUACCGGUUCACACUCACUUCCUCCCAACCAAAGUUACGGAGCGUCGGGCUGACUCCAUUAAGAAGGUUGCUGGUCCAGAUAUUUCCUUCAACCAGCAAGAAGAAACUGUAGGGCAGCUCUUGGCUGAUCCGAGCAAGGCCUUGAUUCAGAAACAAGGAAACCACGAUGGAAGGCUCAGUCAGUAG
rnacentral:lncRNA from 1 species